GACGAACGCUGGCGGCGUGCUUAACACAUGCAAGUCGAACGGAAAGGCCCUGCUUUUGUGGGGUGCUCGAGUGGCGAACGGGUGAGUAACACGUGAGUAACCUGCCCUUGACUUUGGGAUAACUUCAGGAAACUGGGGCUAAUACCGGAUAGGAGCUCCUGCCGCAUGGUGGGGGUUGGAAAGUUUCGGCGGUUGGGGAUGGACUCGCGGCUUAUCAGCUUGUUGGUGGGGUAGUGGCUUACCAAGGCUUUGCCGGGUAGCCGGCCUGAGAGGGUGACCGGCCACAGUGGGACUGGGAUACGGCGCAGACUCCUACGGGAGGCAGCAGUGGGGAAUAUUGCACAAUGGGCGGAAGCCUGAUGCAGCAACGCCGCGUGCGGGAGGACGGCCUUCGGGUUGUAAACCGCUUUCGCCUGUGACGAAGCGUGAGUGACGGUAAUGGGUAAAGAAGCACCGGCUAACUACGUG
rnacentral:rRNA from 1 species